UAGGUCAAUCGGAAAAGAGAAAAUAGGAAAGUCUGAAUAUAGGGAGACAGAAAAAUCAAAGAAUCCAGAAGGACCCAAGAAGCUAUAGAGGAAAGAGAAGAAGAAGAAGAAGAGGAGGAGGAGGAAGCAAACAAGUCCCCUGUGUCAUCAAGAUCAAGGUCGAGGUCCGCCGCGUGCCCUGAAGAGCCCUGGCAGGCUGGCAGUGUUUCUCGUGGAGGAGGAGGAGGAGCCCCUCGGCGUGCAGGCCCCCAGGCACAUGACUUUGCAUCCCAAUGUCCACCACUGAUGUUAGUGUUGAAGUGAGGCAUCGAGACAGUUGCUGUCCUCAGUACUUCUUCCGCCCUUGCUGCCGCUGACUUCAGGACUCCUUGGUGCUUCCCACGCCUUGCCUGCUCAAUUGGUCACUGAGUGUGGCUUUGAAGCAACCUUGCCACCUUCUCCAGCAUCUCUGAGGUUCCUCAAGGCCAGCCAACUCCUCACAUCCAGAGUAGUGUUGCAGUGGAGGCUGCAAGGCGGGACAGCAGCUUGAGUGGCUGGGAUCAGCAGGAGCAGACUGCUGCUGGUGUGAGGUUCAGGAGUGAUAAAAAACACCACCAACACAACCACCACCACCAACAACAACAACUGCUGGCCUCUUCAUCCACAAAGGGGAGAGUUUGAAUUUCAGAAGUGAGAGAAGAUCUGAGAAUGAGAACAAGUUUACUGACCAAAGCCAAGAGUGUGAGAAAAGACAUGCAGGGAAGGAUGACCUCAACAAAUACACCCACACACUCUGGUGUAAGACCUCAUGAAAGGCAGGAGUGUGGCAAAAGGUUUAGUAAUAGGAGUAACCCCAAACAUCACACCCUUACACACACCGGUGCAAGAAAUCAUGAGUGUGAAGUUUGUGGGAAAUGUUUCAGUGAGAAGAGUAUCCUCAACACACACACCCUUACACACACCAGUGCAAGAAAUCACGAGUGUGAAGUUUGUGGGAAAUGUUUCAGUCGCAAGGGUAACCUCAAAUUACACACUCUUACACACACCGGUGCAAAAAAAUACGAGUGUGAAGUUUGUGGGAAAUGUUUCAGUCAGAAGGGUACCCUCAACACACACACCCUUACACACACCAGUGCAAGAAAUCAUGAGUGUGAAGUUUGUGGGAAAUGUUUCAGUCGGAAGAGUACCCUCAAAUUACACACUCUUACACACACUGAUGCAAGCAAUCAUGAGUGUGAAGUUUGUGGGAAAUGUUUCAGUCGAAAGGGUACCCUCAAAUUACACACCCUUACACACACUGGUGAAAGAAAUCAUGAGUGUGAAGUUUGUGGAAAAUGUUUCAUUGAGAAGGGUACCCUCAAGAAACACACCCUUACACACACUGGUGAAAGAAAUCAUGAGUGUGAGGUUUGUGGGAAAUGUUUCAGUCUGAAGAGUACCCUCAAGAAACACACCCUUACUCACACUGGUGAAAGAAAUCAUGAGUGUGAAGUUUGUGGAAAAUGUUUCAUUGAGAAGGGUACCCUCAAGAAACACACCCUUACACAUACUGGUGAAAGAAAUCAUGAGUGUGAUGUUUGUGGGAAAUGUUUCAGUCUGAAGAAUAACCUCAAAUUACACACCCUUACACACACUGGUGAAAGAAAUCAUGAGUGUGAAGUUUGUGGAAAAUGUUUCAGUCAGAAGGGUAACCUCAAGAAACACACCCUUACACACACUGAUGCAAGCAAUCAUGAGUGUGAAGUUUGUGGGAAAUGUUUCAGUCGAAAGGGUACCCUCAAAUUACACACCCUUACACACACUGGUGAAAGAAAUCAUGAGUGUGAAGUUUGUGGAAAAUGUUUCAUUGAGAAGGGUACCCUCAAGAAACACACCCUUACACACACUGGUGAAAGAAAUCAUGAGUGUGAGGUUUGUGGGAAAUGUUUCAGUCUGAAGAGUAACCUCAAGAAACACACCCUUACUCACACUGGUGAAAGAAAUCAUGAGUGUGAAGUUUGUGGAAAAUGUUUCAUUGAGAAGGGUACCCUCAAGAAACACACCCUUACACAUACUGGUGAAAGAAAUCAUGAGUGUGAAGUUUGUGGGAAAUGUUUCAGUCUGAAGAAUAACCUCAAAUUACACACUCUUACACACACUGGUGAAAGAAAUCAUGAGUGUGAAGUUUGUGGAAAAUGUUUCAGUCAGAAGGGUAACCUCAAAGUACACACUGUUACACACACUGAUGCAAGAAGUCAUGAGUGUGAAGUUUGUGGGAAAAGAUUCAAACUGAAGAGGAUAUUGGACCUGCACCUCUUCAGACACUCUGGUCAUAAAGGGUUCAAGUGCGAUGUUUGUGGGAAACGUUUCAUGACUAAGGGUGAGAUUGCCAGGCACAUGAAGGUCCACUUCUCCUGAGGUGCUGUGCUGAUUCAGUUCUGCUGUGUGUGUGAGUGCAAGUGUUUGUUGUGGUGGUGUUACAGGGCUGUGUGUAGCACAGAGAACAGAAAAUAUUCAUCUAUUGGAACAAAUGGUGACUGUGACGGCAUGAUCUGUUGUAACGGGGUACGGGGUGCGUUUAAAGGGCGUUGAUUAAGACUUCAGCUUCCUUAAGGCGAUUAUAUUCUUAGCCUAUAUGUACAAGGAGCGUUGGAGCGAGAGCGACUGCCGUUGUGUGUCAGUCGGACUCUCUUGAAGGAGUGAUGAGUUACAGGUUGGAAAAUAAUUGUUACAAUUGGUCACGUAUGUCAAGGUGACUUUCAAGCUUGAUGAAAUGCUAUGACUAUACUAUAACACUGUUAUUCACUUUCCAUUCUACGCUACAUGUGGUUGGUGGGUCCUGUGAAAGGUCUGAUCUUUUUGGUGACUGUGCUGGGCUGGCUGUUGUGGCCUGGGCUUAUUGGUCAAGUGUGUGUGUGUUAAUAAUAAUAAUAUAGUGUAUUUGGUCUUACCAGCCGCUAAGCUAAAAAUGUACACAUUAUAAACACAUUGUAAAGAACAAGUACAAAAUGACGGUUUAGGGGUUCAGGGAUCUAACGCAGCAGUGGGUGGUUGGAAUGAUGGUGGUGGGAGGGUGGAGUGCAGUGUGGUGGUGCUGGGGAUGGGGAGGACAUCCUCUUCCAGAUGGUGGCAAGGUGUUAGUCCCAGGUCAUCCUUAGGUCAGACGCUGAUGGUGGGAUUCAGGCAGAGCAGUGGGAGGUAACUCAGGCCACAGACUGAACACUGUUGUGCCAUACCCUGGGCUGGUGGGACAAGAGAGGGGGGUGGUUGGGGGGACAAGGGCACAGCCUUGGCAGGGGGGGUGUACAUUGUGCUCCACUUGAGUGACAAGGCUCCAACACAGCACUCACCAAAGCAGAGCAGGCCUUUCCUGGCAGCAGGGUGGGCAGGAUGACAGUACUGUAUGCAAACCACACCAAACUGGCAAUUGGGAGGGGUAACUGAUGUCUUAGGGUGUUGUCACUUUCCUGUUUUCAACCUUGUGAUGUCUCAUCUCAACAAGCAAGUCAAAUACCACGGCAGCCUUGGGGGGGGCACAACAGCAGUGUCACCACUUCCUUAGAGGGAUGAGAGAAGUAACGGGAGAAAGGAAUAAGGGAGAAGUUUGGUAAUGCAGAGGCGAUUUAUCAAUUCUCUCCAUACACUCCCGUCUUCUCAUUCUUCCCUCCCCUACUUCUCUUGGGUGUUCUACCACCCUGUCCCCCCUCCCCCCAUCCCCUCUCUUCCCCCAAUCAGAAUUAUAACAGGUUGCAUUUACAUGUGUCUUGUAUGCUCUCAAAUCUCAGUGUACCACUUGGGAAUUUAUGUAAAGAUAAAAAAGCAUUCCGAGA